rnacentral:rRNA from 1 species
UGGGGAAUCUUCCGCAAUGGACGAAAGUCUGACGGAGCAACGCCGCGUGAGUGAAGAAGGUUUUCGGAUCGUAAAGCUCUGUUUUCAGGGACGAACGGCAGAAAUAUGAAUAAUAUAUCUGCAUGACGGUACCUGAGGAGGAAGCCACGGCUAACUACGUGCCAGCAGCCGCGGUAAUACGUAGGUGGCAAGCGUUGUCCGGAAUUAUUGGGCGUAAAGGGCGUGUAGGCGGGAUAAUAAGUCUGUUGUAAAAGUGCGGGGCUCAACCCCGUAAGGUCAAUGGAAACUGUUAUUCUUGAGUGCAGGAGAGUAAAGUGGAAUUCCCAGUGUAGCGGUGAAAUGCGUAGAUAUUGGGAGGAACACCAGUGGCGAAGGCGACUUUCUGGACUGUGUCUGACGCUGAGGCGCGAAAACCAGGGGAGCGAACG